UAGAAAGUAGUAUAAUCGAAAUACAAAGGAUUUUGAUUUCUAAAAUAUAAGUUCAACUCUUAUCUUUCUAA
rnacentral:tRNA from 1 species